GGAAUCUGAAGACUGAAUCCAGUAGACUGCCUGCAUGCUUGUUGGAAGUUGAAGAUUGGAAGUUGGAAGCUGACUGAGAUUAAGCUAGCAAAAAAAUGAUUCAAAGCAUCAAGAGACACAAGGGGCGAGCAGACACAAGAGAGAAAUCUAAGAGAACACUGUGGGCUGGCGGUGAAAAAUGCUGCAAACUGACUGAGUUGUUUUUGAAAUCAAAUGCAGCUUGAGCUAGCACUAGCGCUAAUACUGCUAGCGCUAAUGUUAGCAACACAGCUGAGCCAGCACACCAGGGAGAAAGACAGGCCAGUGAGGAAUAUGAGCAAGAGCAACAAAGCAACAAAAUGAGCAAGAGGAGGACGAAGAGGUAGACACGGAUAACUGCAUGACGGCAGCUGUAGAAGUUAACACAGCUGCAGAGGACAUGGACUGAAGUUGGAUCAACAAUGGAAAAGGCAGUCGAACAAGCGCAGGGAGACGGACGUUUGUGUCCAGAAACCAGAAGUCACCGGAAGACAGAGAGCAAGGGAAGACAAAGAGGAAGGGAAAGAAGUGGGAGCAGAAGUGGAGUCAAGAGGGAAGGACAAACGUGAACGGCGAAUGAAAGACGGAAGACAGAAAACGAGAAGAGGAGAGGAGAGGAAAGGAAAGGAGUGGGGCAGAGCGACGGGGGGAGAGGAGGGAAUCACUCAAUCGUUUCUGCGGAAGGAAAGAGCUUUAUAUUCAGUGAUGGGAGAAAGAUGACGUUCUGGCAGGCUGACAAUGAGGCCUAAGGGGCGCCGAGGCAGGCACAGUCAGCUUUAUUCAAUGCAAAGAUCAAAGGCCACGUUUCUUUACCCCAAAUUAGUCACCAUUUCACAGCCACUAAAGCUCCCUUCCAACAACUCUACUUACUUGCGCAGCGCCUGAACAAGGCUAUUUUGAGGGGAGAUCACUGUUUUGGGACAAGAGUCGAUCACUAAUCAUGAGUCCGCACUGCCAAAAACUCAAGGAGCCAGCCCGGACUAUUCAUUUUGGAUGACCCAAGACGGUCUCCUCAUUUCCCCCCCUCGUCCCUGCAGCUGAACGCUUUGGACGACAUCGCCCAUCAGCGGCCAAUCAUGCGCUGGCGCCGGAAUACCGAAUCCCGUCAAUCACAUCAUUAGCGCUGGAGCGACCAGCGAGUUUCAAAAUGGACAGUCUGCAACCUGGAGCGUAAUCGUGCUUCCGUGUCGUCUCAUAAGGGUCAAGUGCUCUGCUGAAAUGAGCGUCCAGC